rnacentral:rRNA from 1 species
GACGAACGCUGGCGGCGUGCCUAAUACAUGCAAGUCGAACGAGAGCGACCGGUGCUUGCACUGGUCAAUCUAGUGGCGAACGGGUGAGUAACACGUGGGUAACCUGCCCAUCAGAGGGGGAUAACAUCCGGAAACGGAUGCUAAAACCGCAUAGGUCUUCGAGCCGCAUGGCUUGAAGAGGAAAAGAGGCGCAAGCUUCUGCUGAUGGAUGGACCCGCGGUGCAUUAGCUAGUUGGUGAGGUAACGGCUCACCAAGGCCGUGAUGCAUAGCCGACCUGAGAGGGUGAUCGGUCACAUUGGGACUGAGACACGGCCCAAACUCCUACGGGAGGCAGCAGUAGGGAAUCUUCCGCAAUGGACGCAAGUCUGACGGAGCAACGCCGCGUGAGUGAAGAAGGUUUUCGGAUCGUAAAACUCUGUUGUUAGAGAAGAACAAGUGCUAGAGUAACUGUUAGCGCCUUGACGGUAUCUAACCAGAAAGCCACGGCUAACUACGUG